GAGCUAUAGGUGCAGCUGCAUACCCACUUGAGGAACGAGCCAGACUGUUUGAAGAGAUAUAUUCAUGGUGACUAAGAUUUCAGUACAAUGGACAGGUGAUGCAUAACGGUGUCUUUGGAUGUACAUCAGAAUUACUGGCUUCUCUUAGUGAUCAUUAUGAGGCUUUCAUUUGAGUUUUCUAAUGCCCUUGCCAUUUCAGAACGAGGAAUCAAAAUUGCACUAUAUUUCUCAUAGUACAUAUUACAAUAUUAAAACAUAUACUCGUAUGUAUGUGAUCCUGUACAUGCCACAGGUGCAAGAUCGUCCUGCCUUGAUAUUUCUCAGUUUGUGGCUUUGUAUGGUUACCUUAUAAUUUGAAAGGGUCAUAUAUUCAUAUCACUAGAAUGAUAGCUAUAUGGAUAGGGCAAUCAACAUCUGGAUAAUCUUUCUGUACAUGUCAACAUGACUUAUGAGACCAAGACAUCUGUUAUAAUGAUGUGAAGGUCGCCUGAACACCUGUUUUUGUAAUGGUUCAUGACACCUCAAUCAAACUGUUGUUCCACAAUAUUAGUUUUUGUAGUUUUUCAUCACGUUGGCACCUUAGUAAGCCAAAUAGGUAAUCAGCAUGAUACUUUGUACAAAAAUGAACAUUAUGAUAGUUCUCAUAAUGAGCAUCGGGCCCUUGUUACGAUGAUAGUACAUGUUAACUAUUAGUUGACUUCAUAUAUUAGGGGAAAAUGGAAUUGAUUAGGUGCAUUAACGAAAUAUCAAAUAUGAGAAGGCUUUAUAAUUCAUGCCUACUAGGACUUUCCCAGUAUUAAAAUCAAUCUUGAUUGGAUAUGUUGGCAGGUUGGCAGUAGAUAGAUUCCGAUUUGUUGAUAACGGAUUAUUAUUAUUCUUUCUUCUCUGGUGUAGCAGCAGCUGGGUAUGCAUUAUUGAACUCCUACCGUCCUAUGCUGUUACACCACAUAUUUUUUGAAUUAAAACAAUAAAACAUAUACUAAUACCUGGUCCUAGACAAGCCACAGUGUUGUGGGUGACACAUAUAAUGACGGGUGCAUCAAAGCAUAUAGCUGAUGUGGCAAUGGGUUGAUAAUUUGGAAGACCACAGAUGAAAAAGGAGAACUCGUGUCCAGAUCCUGGGAAUUCAUUGACUUUUGACUUCUGUAGACUCUUUUCUAUUUCUGGAAAGGAUCAGAUUUUAAGGCUAUUAUAUUAUAGAAAGCUUCACGUGGGACAUGGCCCGCAUCUCCCUGCUUUAAUUCUACCACUGGACUUGACACCGCUAGCCGCAAAGUAUUGUCUCAUGUUUGACUCUUGAAUAGUUAAAUUAUACAUGCUCCUACUGCCUUAAUUUAAUGGGUUAACUUUUUUUUUGCCUACUAUCUUUUUCCACGUUGAUGAGAAGGUUUAACCGCCUCUGGACAAUGAGUUUUGGACUAUUUAGCCAACUUAAGUUCUUUUAGAUAAGAUGGAGCCAAACCAGCUAUUAUAUAAAUAGCAGAGAGUUGUUGAAUAAAUAGUAGACUCGUUUACAAAACAUAAAAUCUUUUCUAUUUUCGAUACCCUUGCUUGCUUCUUUUAAUUUUAGUAAUCAAGAAGCUGGUUUUACACAAUUCUUGCUUCUCUUAUAGCAUCUUUUUUAUGUUCAUAAGUCGGAAACGUCUAGAGCAAGGUGGCUAGCUGGUAUCAGCACUUUCCAUUUAUAACUAACCACAUACUUGAUUGCAUUUCGCCGGCUGGCUUGAUACUAUCCAGAUUUUCCAGACAAGGGUUUGAUUCUUGUUUUUUCUAGUGGGUUUUGAAAUUUCCAUUACUCAUCUAAUGCCGUUAUUAGAGACAACGUGUCAUAUAAAUUCAACAAUAUACUUAUAACGUCUGGUCCUGGAUAUGCCACAAGAUACAAGUCAAUAUGGGUGAGGCAUAGAGUGAUGUUUGCAUUAUGGCAAUAGCUGAGGUGGACAAUGUUGGACCAAUUGCAAGACUGCACGUAUGCAAAAGAGAUCUUGGAAUCUGAAUAAUUUCUGUUUCCACGUCAUCAAGUAUUGUGGGACCAUGAUGUUUUCCAUCUAAGACACAUGCGUAGGUUUAAAACUUAUGAAAUACAUAUUGGAAAUUCCUUGCCAAUGAGGUGGAGCAUGAGAAUUUUCUCUAGCAUUUAGCUGGUUUCUUUCAGAACGGUAGUGAUACUUCUACUGUCAGUCAUGUCCUUGGAUUGACUGUGUUGGUGAUGUGGUUAAUCUCUACUGGACAAUGAAGAGACAAUACUUCUGAGUCCAAUUAUCAGUGUUUAAAAAAGACAUUCAUUUUUCAUACCCGUGGCUUUGCUUAUGUAAAAUUUAACAAUACACGUGGGUUUGUAAAAAAAAACUUAAAUAAAACCCAAUGAGGGUCAUUUGUAUUCUUCUUCACAGCUAUUAAAAUCCACAACCACUAAUUUAGGGCUAAUUUACUUCGUCUCAUAGAUUAAGAAGCGAAUGAUCGUGGUGAUUCCAAAGGUCGAAGUGGCUUUCGUCAAUUAAGAUGCGGAUGAUAGUUACAAUUCAAAAGGUGAAAGUGGCUUUCGUUAAUUUCAAAUCUCAUUUACUCAUUUGCUAGAUAUGAUGGUUUAUUGGAAGCUAUGGUUAACUAUAGUGGUAUAUUUUGUCCAAAACCAUCAAUGUAUGCAGAUGGACUAAGGUCUACGAUACUGAUUUUGGGGAGAAUUGGAAUUUACUAAUCUGGUUACUUGUGAUGAUAGUGAAUUCGCAAAAGGGAGAUGAGAUUGAAUUGUCACCUCCUGAUCAUCUUGAUGUUGAUGAUGAUUUCGAUAAUGCUGUGAGUUGUGUAACAAGAAGACAUGCAUAAGGGUAAAGAGAAUGCUGUGAUUGUAGAAUCUCAUGCUGACUAUACGACGAGAAUUCAAAUCGAAGUGAUAACAAUGUUGAUCAUUAAUUUAAUAUAUACGACGAGAAUUCGUCUAAUGUGGAUGUAUUCUUAGCCAUUUCCAUUAAGUUGUCCUUGUGAACCAGAGUAGUUUAACUAUUAAGCGAUCGUACUCUAUUUUAGAAUCAUGUUUGUUAAAGGAAAUGCAAUUCACAUAAGUACGGUAAAAGUGUUUUGAGAAA